UGAACGCUGGCGGCAUGCCUUACACAUGCAAAUCGACCGGCAGCGCGGACUUCGGCCUGGCGGCGAGUGGCGAACGGGUGAGUAAUACAUCGGAACGUACCCUGUUGUGGGGGAUAACUAGUCGAAAGAUUAGCUAAUACCGCAUACGACCUGAGGGUGAAAGUGGGGGACCGGAAACGGCCUCAUGCAGCAGGAGCGGCCGAUGUCUGAUUAGCUAGUUGGUGGGGUAAAGGCCCACCAAGGCGACGAUCAGUAGCUGGUCUGAGAGGACGAUCAGCCACACUGGGACUGAGACACGGCCCAGACUCCUACGGGAGGCAGCAGUGGGGAAUUUUGGACAAUGGGGGCAACCCUGAUCCAGCAAUGCCGCGUGUGUGAAGAAGGCCUUCGGGUUGUAAAGCACUUUUGUCCGGAAAGAAAUCGCGCUGGUUAAUACCUGGCGUGGAUGACGGUACCGGAAGAAUAAGCACCGGCUAACUACGUG
rnacentral:rRNA from 1 species